AUUGAACGCUGGCGGCAGGCUUAACACAUGCAAGUCGAGCGGGGAAGGGUAGCUUGCUACCUGACCUAGCGGCGGACGGGUGAGUAAUGCUUAGGAAUCUGCCUAUUAGUGGGGGACAACGUUCCGAAAGGAAUGCUAAUACCGCAUACGCCCUACGGGGGAAAGCAGGGGAUCUUCGGACCUUGCGCUAAUAGAUGAGCCUAAGUCAGAUUAGCUAGUUGGUGGGGUAAAGGCCUACCAAGGCGACGAUCUGUAGCGGGUCUGAGAGGAUGAUCCGCCACACUGGGGCUGAGACACGGCCCAGACUCCUACGGGAGGCAGCAGUGGGGAAUAUUGGACAAUGGGCGCAAGCCUGAUCCAGCCAUGCCGCGUGUGUGAAGAAGGCCUUUUGGUUGCAAAGCACUUUAAGCGAGGAGGAGGCUACUUGGAUUAAUACUCUAGGAUAGUGGACGUUACUCGCAGAAUAAGCACCGGCUAACUCUGUGCCAGCAGCCGCGGUAAUACAGAGGGUGCGAGCGUUAAUCGGAUUUACUGGGCGUAAAGCGUGCGUAGGCGGCUUUUUAAGUCGGAUGUGAAAUCCCUGAGCUUAACUUAGGAAUUGCAUUCGAUACUGGGAAGCUAGAGUAUGGGAGAGGAUGGUAGAAUUCCAGGUGUAGCGGUGAAAUGCGUAGAGAUCUGGAGGAAUACCGAUGGCGAAGGCAGCCAUCUGGCCUAAUACUGACGCUGAGGUACGAAAGCAUGGGGAGCAAACAGG
rnacentral:rRNA from 1 species